rnacentral:rRNA from 1 species
GUGGGGAAUCUUCCGCAAUGGACGAAAGUCUGACGGAGCAACGCCGCGUGUAUGAUGAAGGUCUUCGGAUUGUAAAGUACUGUCUUUGGGGAAGAAUGACUGAUUUGAGAAUAUUGAGUCAGUAUGACGGUACCCAAGGAGGAAGCCCCGGCUAACUACGUGCCAGCAGCCGCGGUAAUACGUAGGGGGCAAGCGUUGUCCGGAAUUAUUGGGCGUAAAGGGCGCGUAGGCGGAUUUUUAAGUCUGUUGUGAAAGAUCAGGGCUCAACCCUGAGAGUGCAUCGGAAACUGGAGAUCUUGAGGACAGGAGAGGAAAGUGGAAUUCCACGUGUAGCGGUGAAAUGCGUAGAUAUGUGGAGGAACACCAGUGGCGAAGGCGACUUUCUGGACUGUAACUGACGCUGAGGCGCGAAAGCGUGGGGAGCAAACAGGAUUAGAAACCCUAGUAGUCC